GAUGAACGCUGGCGGCGUGCCUAAUACAUGCAAGUCGAGCGAACGGACGAGAAGCUUGCUUUUCUGAUGUUAGCGGCGGACGGGUGAGUAACACGUGGAUAACCUACCUAUAAGACUGGGAUAACUUCGGGAAACCGGAGCUAAUACCGGAUAAUAUUUUGAACCGCAUGGUUCAAAAGUGAAAGACGGUCUUGCUGUCACUUAAAGAUGGAUCCGCGCUGCAUUAGCUAGUUGGUAAGGUAACGGCUUACCAAGGCAACGAUGCAUAGCCGACCUGAGAGGGUGAUCGGCCACACUGGAACUGAGACACGGUCCAGACUCCUACGGGAGGCAGCAGUAGGGAAUCUUCCGCAAUGGGCGAAAGCCUGACGGAGCAACGCCGCGUGAGUGAUGAAGGUCUUCGGAUCGUAAAACUCUGUUAUUAGGGAAGAACAUAUGUGUAAGUAACUGUGCACAUCUUGACGGUACCUAAUCAGAAAGCCACGGCUAACUACGUG
rnacentral:rRNA from 1 species